UGCCAGCAGCCGCGGUAAUACAUAGGGUGCAAGCGUUAAUCGGGAAUUACUGGGCGUAAAGCGUUCGCAGGCGGUUUUAUAAGUCAGAUGUGAAAUCCCCGAGCUCAACUUGGGAACUGCGUUUGAAACUGUAAAACUAGAGUGUGUCAGAGGGGGGUAGAAUUCCAUGUGUAGCAGUGAAAUGCGUAGAUAUGUGGAGGAAUACCAAUGGCGAAGGCAGCCCCCUGGGAUAACACUGACGCUCAUGAACGAAAGCGUGGGCGCAAACAGUAUUCGAUA
rnacentral:rRNA from 1 species